GGAGGGGUUGCCUGGUGAAGAGCAGGCAGGGAGGAGGCUCACAGGGGAGAGACGUUGACCUUCUAGCUCUAGGCUGAGUUUUAGGUUUAGUGUCAGCACUUGGGGCUCCAGCUAGCUCCAGCUGGGAUUCUAAGGGGCAAGUGCAGGUGAGUGGGAACAGCCGAGCCUGCGGGGCAUCUCCUCUGAAGCCCUCUGGGGAGUUGGAGCCGUCACACCUGGUCCCUUUCAACCCAGGCCUAGCAGACAAUGCAGAAGAGCCAAGAAGCCGAGUCCGGCACCUUGAUCUCUCUGAGCCUCCUGUUGGGGGAGGACCCAGAACACCUGUCCCAGCAACUGCGGGCUACCAGUCUACGGGACAGGGAGCCACUUGGCUCUCCCGGCCUCUCCAAGGUGGGCUCAGAGUACCUGCCCUUCUGCACAUAUGAGCAGCCCCUGGCUGUGGAGGAGCUGGCCCAGCUGGCUGAAACCGGCCCAGGGCACGAAGCUGGCUGGAGCAGCCAAGGGAGCCUGUUCCUCGAGGACUCAGCGCCACCCAGUGGCUUCUUCCCGUACUACCGUUCCCAGGAAGAGCACCUCGCCAGUGCCACCACCACCCCUCAAGGCUGCAGCUGGUGUCUGGGCUCCAGAGACCCCUUUCCGGGAAGUGAGACACAAGAUGGCUGCCACAAAGUCACAGCCAGAGAUGGAUGCCUUUCUCUCUUGGCAGGGCCAGACCUAAUCUCUGGGUUUCCACCCUCACCAGUCUGCUGCUGCUGCUUGCGAGGGCACCAUGCUCAUGAGGCCUCAGGAUUUGUACCAUACUACAGGAGCCCCGAAGAGAGGCUACGGGCCAGCCCUGUGGUUUCCUCCUCUGUGCUGGGGAGUUCAUGGGAGUGACCCCCCCAACCUGGUGCUGCCAGCCUGGGAAGGCGCAGGAGUGAAGGCAGUGGGGACUUCUGGGGAGUCAUACUCCAGUGCCUCCUGAUCAUCGAGGGACAAGGGGAACUGGAACAGAGGCCCCCCACAGCUCAGGCCACCUGCCCUGGGACCCCAGCUGGCCUAAUCUCCCAGCUUGUUCCCACUUGUGUCCAUCAACUGAGGAGAAAGUCGGAGAGGAGUCAGGCAGUCCUUGGCCCUCAGAACCUGGUACAGAAGAAAACACAGGAGCUCCAGCACCGUGCACUGGCGUUUUGGGUGUGACGCAGUUGGCAUGCUAAUUCUGUUUUAUCGAUGAUAAAGAAGCUGAGGCAGAGAAACCCGGGCAUUUAUGCAGCGGGGUGGGGAUUGUGGGCCUUCAGGAAAGUCACUUCCCUUCUUGAGUCCUGGCCUGAAGGAGCAUUUGGGGCUUGGAGUGGAGCCGCCCACGAGUCUCACAAUCAUCACCACUGAGUGACAUUAGCGAAUUUAUUUGACCUCCCGCCUGAAAGCCUGGUGUAGCCUGGCAGAGCUGACUGCCCACCCGCAAGAUGGGAGCCUGGUUACUUACAAGCUGCAAGUGAUCCUGAAGUAAGGUUUGUUGUUUGUUUUUGUUUUUUGUUUUUCCUCCAGUCUACAACUCCCAAGAAGACUCUCAGUGGCUCCUCUGGCACUCUCAGAGAGUCCUCCCUGGCCCCCGCAGCCUCGCUGGCAUCCUCAGACUUCUUGCUGGACCUUUUUAAUGCAGACCCCAGCUCCUUACCAGCCCGUGGCAGGAAACCCCUCCAUUCUGGCAACCUCGCUGUCCUGGAGGCCCCGAGUGCUGUGCAGCAGCGCCCCCUCCUGGCGCAUCUUGUCAGGACAGCUGGCUUCCCUGAGAUCUACAGUUUGAUUGUUCAGACACUGCCUAAGAAGGCACCACACCUACCUU
rnacentral:lncRNA from 1 species